AUUGAACGCUGGCGGCAUGGCUAAAACAUGCAAGUCGAACGUACCCGCAAGGGUAAGUGGCGAAAGGGUCAGUAAUACGAUCGAAUGUACCCCGAGGUAGGGGAUAGCGCCGGGAAACUGGCGGUAAUACCCUAUGAGCUCGCAAGAGGAAAGAUUUUUCGCCUUGGGAGCAGCGAUCGUCCUAUCAGGUAGUUGGCGGGUAACGGCCCACCAAGCCGAAGACGGGUAGCGGGUGCGAGAGCACGGCCCGCGACAUCGGGACUGAGACACUGCCCGGACUCCUACGGGAGGCUGCAGUAACGAAUCUUCCGCAAUGGGCGAAAGCCUGACGGAGCAAUGCCGCGUGCGGGAUGAAGCGCCUACGGCGUGUAAACCGCUGUC
rnacentral:rRNA from 1 species